UCCAGGGUAGCCUAGUGGACAUGGCAUCUGCCCAGUAAGCGGAACACAGUGGGUUCGAUUUCCAUCCCUGGAC
rnacentral:tRNA from 1 species